GUGUGUGUGUGUGAUAUUCAGGUGGCUGGGGAGGCCAGAGGAGGGUGUUGGAUCUCUGGAACUCUUGUUCCAGGUGGGGUAAGCCACUUGCGCAUGGGUGCUGGGAACGUUAUUCAGGUCCUCUGGAGGGGCAUCAAGUGCUCUUAACUGCUGAGCCAUCUCAACCCCACUGAGGUUAUUUUUAAUCGUGUAUUUUCACUUCUUUUAUCUUCAACAUUUUUAUAAUAGCAUAAUUAAUCCUUCAAGGCUUUAAUAACUUCAUAAAGUACAACGAACAAGCCACCGUAUUAUUUAUUUUACUCAUUCUAUUGCUAGGAUUUCAGGUUAUAGCCCAUGUUGUAAUAUCAUAAAAGUGUUGAUGAAUACAAAACUAUCUUUAUUUUCCCUUGGCUCGUCAAGAUUUAUUUAUAGAAAUGAGAUCAGGGGCAACGAUGCAUGCAUUUUAAGUUUCCUCGUGUAUAUUGUAAAUGUGCUGCUUUUCAACAACAACAACAAAAUCCACAGCAGUUUACAUAAUAUUGUAUGGUUUCAACUAAUUAUUCGUCUUUUCUUCUUCAGUUUUGGAACCUGUCUUCUGGAGGGACGAGGAUCCCUCUUGUGUGUGGAGAGCAGAGCUCAGGCAGCGACUGAGGAGUCUGCUUUCUAAUGAUGCUUUUGUCCCGUUUCACUUUCAAUGAGCAAAGUAAACAACACUCGCUAAAAGAUGCAAAAGUCCACUUUAUUGGUUUUGAAGGGCCUCCCGUGAAAGGCUAUUGGGAACUUCCAUGGAACAGCUGAGUUUAUCCCUCUCAUAUAAAUCAAAAUGAGCAGGCCUGCAGAAGCGUUCCAUUUGAAACGGCAGCGGUGGUUUAGAGCUGUUGAGCCAAAACGCCCAUUAGCUGUUUGUCAGGAAUAUUUUUAGAAAUUGCAAGAACAAGGCUUGUACGGUGAACUGGAGCUACAGGGUCACCCUCUCCCCAGGAAUUUGCCCUCAGCUUUCAGAAGCCAUCAGGACCUACCUCCCUGUGUUCUUCACGCCAACAGACCCCAAACCCCAAGUAACACAAAAUGAACAACUCAACACGGGCACAGCUGUCCCAGUGCCCUCGGAGGACUGCCAACAUCUUUCACUUCAGGUUCUACCAACCUAAAGGUAACCAAUAUCCUGAUUCCUAAGCCCACAGGUUAACACUGGGACUCAUGGCCUUUCCUGGUCUUCAUACCUGGGUAUCUGCAGUAUGCAGAAGGCAGCCGCUAAGUGAUGACGUUCCAGCAAAUCUCCAAAGGUUCGGCCUUCUGCUCUCCCACUAAUUAGGAGCAGCAAGAGACCCCUCAUCAGAAGCAAUAAGAUGCUGGAGCCAUACUUCUAGACUUCUAAAGGCAUGAGCCCAAAUAAACCGUCACACUUACCUACCUCAGGUAAGUCACAGCAAGAGAAAACGGACCAAACCAUCACAAU